GACUCACAGCGGUGGAUCACUCGGCUCGUGCGUCGAUGAAAAACGCAGCCAACUGCGAGAACUGGUGUGAAUUGCAGGAUACACUGAUCAUCGAUACGUUGAACGCACAUUGCGGCCCUGGGCUCCACCCGGGGCCACCCCUGUAUGAGGGUCG
rnacentral:rRNA from 1 species